rnacentral:ribozyme from 13 species
UUAGAGAAUGAAAGUAAAAGGGGGGAUAGAGAAAUGAGAGAAUAACACAACAAGAAUUGGGCGUCUUUCAUUUAUCAUUUUUCUUUUUUUCUUUUUU